rnacentral:lncRNA from 1 species
GUGGGGACUGACGGCUGCGUUCUGACUCCCCUCCUUCCCCGGCGGUGGGGCUGGGGUAGAGCGGGGUCGGCCGUCGGGGCCGCAAAAUAAAAUAAUCGUAAAAUAAUCAUCACAAAAGUACUAAUGAUGAAACAUCCCAACUGCUGAAACGGCCAAACGAAGCUAAAAAGGCGCGCGAGAAUGGAAAAGAAAAAAAUAAAAGAAAGCAACCAAAACCCCACGACAUUCUGCUAUAACGCAAUUCUGGGUGCGCAGAAAAACCAGGCACGGGAAGGGCCCGGGGAGCCCCGGCGACGGGGCCGGGAUGGCGAGGAGCGGUGGUCCGGAGGAUGCCCCGCACCGAACGCAACGAGCGGCGUCGCUCCGAUGUUUCCCGAGCGAGCGCGUCGGAUGCUUUUGUUUGGAUUUUGCCUUUAAUUUUUUUGGUUAUCGACAAAAUCUUUCGAACGCGUGUUCGCUCCCAACGGGGAGGAGAGGGGCACCGCUCCCGCAGCGCUCCCGGCCCCGCAACGCUCCCGGCCCCGCACGAGCGUACCCACGCGGCGGCCGCCUCGGCAAACUUUCCCGGGGCCCGGCCCGGCCCCUUCCCUGCCGCCCCCCCUCCUCCCCG